rnacentral:rRNA from 1 species
AGCGAACGCUGGCGGCAGGCCUAACACAUGCAAGUCGAACGAUCCUUCGGGAUAGUGGCGGACGGGUGAGUAACACGUGGGAACGUACCUUUAGGUUCGGGAUAACUCAGGGAAACUUGAGCUAAUACCGGAUAAGCCCUUUUGGGGAAAGAUUUAUCGCCUUUAGAGCGGCCCGCGUUAGAUUAGCUAGUUGGUGGGGUAAAGGCCCACCAAGGCUCCGAUCUAUAGCUGGUCUGAGAGGAUGAUCAGCCACACUGGGACUGAGACACGGCCCAGACUCCUACGGGAGGCAGCAGUGGGGAAUCUUGCGCAAUGGGCGAAAGCCUGACGCAGCCAUGCCGCGUGAAUGAUGAAGGUCUUAGGAUUGUAAAAUUCUUUUAGCAGGGACGAUAAUGACGGUACCUGCAGAAAAAGCCCCGGCUAACUUCGUGCCAGCCGCCGCAGUAACAC